rnacentral:rRNA from 1 species
UACGUAGGGCGCAAGCGUUAUCCGGAAUUAUUGGGCGUAAAGAGCUCGUAGGCGGUUUGUCGCGUCUGCCGUGAAAGUCCGGGGCUCAACUCCGGGUCUGCGGUGGGUACGGGCAGACUAGAGUGAUGUAGGGGAGACUGGAAUUCCUGGUGUAGCGGUGAAAUGCGUAGAUAUCAAGUGGAACACCAGUGGCGAAGGCGAAUCCCUGGAAAAUACCUGACACUGAGGCACGAAAGCUAGGGGAGCAAACAGG